UACGAAGGGGGCGAGCGUUGUUCGGAUUUACUGGGCGUAAAGGGCGCGUAGGCGGCCUUGUCAGUCAGGCGUGAAAGCCCCGGGCUCAACCUGGGAACGGCGCUUGGGACGGCGAGGCUGGAGUUCGGGAGAGGAGAGUGGAAUUCCCAGUGUAGAGGUGAAAUUCGUAGAUAUUGGGAAGAACACCGGCGGCGAAGGCGGCUCUCUGGACCGACACUGACGCUGAGGCGCGAAAGCGUGGGGAGCAAACAGG
rnacentral:rRNA from 1 species